UUCACAUUAAAGUCACAACGGCAAAAGAUGAGCAUGCGUCCCAUUAGCUAGUUGGUAAGGUAACGGCUUACCAAGGCAACGAUGGGUAGGGGUCCUGAGAGGGAGAUCCCCCACACUGGUACUGAGACACGGACCAGACUCCUACGGGAGGCAGCAGUGAGGAAUAUUGGACAAUGGGCGCAAGCCUGAUCCAGCCAUGCCGCGUGCAGGAUGACGGUCCUAUGGAUUGUAAACUGCUUUUGUACAGGAAGAAACACUGGUUCGUGAACCAGCUUGACGGUACUGUAAGAAUAAGGAUCGGCUAACUCCG
rnacentral:rRNA from 2 species